UGCUGCAUUAUCCUUUUCCAUUCUUCACGUUUGUUGCUCCUUAUAACCUAAUAAUUUUCCUCAUCAAAUAACCAAACUCAGCCGCCUUUACUCUUUAAACAAAUCUGAACUUCAUCAUCAAUCAUAUUCUUCUUCCAUUUGUUCAAGCUCGGUUUAAAUUCGUUUGUUCUUUGACGGUUUACAUCGACUCGACGUUCUCUUCGAUCCCUACGUUUCAGAAUCAUAUACGACCCGUCGACUGUUCGUACUUCAGAGGCGAACCAGAGUUAGAUUGCUUGUCAGGAUCACGUGGAUUUAGCAAGCAGUGAGUUUAUAUCUCUAUUUACCUCUUUAUUAAGCAACUAUUAUAUUUUGUAUAUAUGUAUAUGUAUAAACAGCUUUCGAACUGUUUUCGGCAUUGUGGAUUUGAUUUGGAACGUGCUACUCGAUGUGCAUCAUCGGGACUGCGUGCGCACCGGUAAUGAUUAUGGUAUUGAGGUAGGUUUGAGAUACGUCUCACCUUAGUGAGGGCACCGGUGGAAGAUACGUCUCCUGGGCUCACUAUUUAUUAAGUGAUAGUCGGGGAUCGGUUCUUGAGAUACGUCUCACCGACACGACAAUGGAUUUAGAAUUGUGGUUUAGGGUUUCAUUGAUAAUCCAUAAUGAAAAUGUUUUAUUAAACGUUUUAAAGGUUUUUAACUUAAUAAAUGUAAAUGGUUAUAUAAACUCUACUCAGUAAAUCUGACCCCGUUGUUUUCCCAAAUUUUCCAGGUUUAUGAUUUGAGCAUUGGUCGAUCUCCGUUUCUUCAUUCUCGGAGGUUUUUAUUUUUAUUUUCAGAAUAAAGGAGUCGAACUGUUUUUAACUCUUAGACCG